rnacentral:rRNA from 1 species
GAGGAGCCUGCGGCGGAUUAGCUAGUUGGUAAGGUAACGGCUUACCAAGGCCAUGAUCCGUAGCCGGCCUGAGAGGGCGGUCGGCCACACUGACACUGACAUACGGGUCAGACUCCUACGGGAGGCAGCAGUCGGGAAUUUUGGGCAAUGGGCGAAAGCCUGACCCAGCAACGCCGCGUGAAGGAUGAAAUCCCUCGGGAUGUAAACUUCGCAAGAACAGGAAGAAUAAGUAGGGGACAAUACCCCCUAUGAUGACGGUACUGUUUGUAAGCUCCGGCUAACUCCGUGCCAGCAGCCGCGGUAAUACGGGGGGAGCAAGCGUUGUUCGGAUUUACUGGGCGUAAAGGGCGCGUAGGCGGCCACCGCAAGUCGACUGUGAAAUCUCCGGGCUUAACUCGGAAAGGUCAGCCGAUACUGCGGGGCUAGAGUGCAGAAGGGGCAACUGGAAUUCUCGGUGUAGCGGUGAAAUGCGUAGAUAUCGAGAGG